rnacentral:rRNA from 1 species
AACGAACGCUGGCGGCAGGCCUCAAACAUGCAAGUCUAGGGGGUGUAGCAAUACAUCACCGGCGGACGGGUGCGUAACACGUGGGAAUAUACCUUUUGGUUCGGAACAACGCAGGGAAACUUGCGCUAAUACCGAAUGUGCCCUUACGGGGAAAGAUUUAUCGCCAAAGGAUUAGCCCGCGUAGGAUUAGCUAGUUGGUGAGGUAAUGGCUCACCAAGGCUCCGAUCCUUAGCUGUUCUGAGAGGAAGAUCAGCCACACUGGGACUGAGACACGGCCCAAACUCCUACGGGAGGCAGCAGUGGGGAAUAUUGGACAAUGGGCGAAAGCCUGAUCCAGCCAUGCCGCGUGAGUGAUGAAGGCCCUAGGGUUGUAAAGCUCUUUUGUGCGGGAAGAUAAUGACGGUACCGCAAGAAUAAGCCCCGGCUAACUUCGUGCCAGCAGCCGCGGUAAU